rnacentral:rRNA from 1 species
AGUGAACGCUGGCGGCGUGCUUAACACAUGCAAGUCGAACGAGAACGGGUUAUAGCUUGCUAUAAUUGUCAGCUAAGUGGCGCACGGGUGAGUAAUGUAUAGGUAAUAUGCCUCUUACUAAGGGAUAACAAAUGGAGACGUUUGCUAAUACCUUAUACUCCUUAUUAACAUAAGUUAAUAAGGGAAAGAUUUAUUGGUAAGAGAUUAGCCUGUAUUGUAUCAGUUAGUUGGUGGGGUAAUGGCUUACCAAGACUAUGACACAUAACUGGUUUGAGAGGAUGAUCAGUCACACUGGAACUGAGACACGGUCCAGACUCCUACGGGAGGCAGCAGUGGGGAAUAUUGCACAAUGGACGAAAGUCUGAUGCAGCAACGCCGCGUGGAGGAUGACACAUUUCGGUGCGUAAACUCCUUUUAUAUGAGAAGAUAAUGACGGUAUUAUAUGAAUAAGCACCGGCUAACUCCGUGCCAGCCGCCGCAGUAUAAC